CAAAGAGACCGCGAAACCGUUGGGAGGGAAACGAACGUGGCCGUGAAGGCUCCCUUCGGGUUCAGGGAGCCCGGGUUUUGGGCGUUGUGAGGUUCGAGACUCGUGUCGGGCUUGGCCUCGCAAGCCUUUCCGGGCUUCCGCAUUCCCGUCUGGAGUCCGCCAACGGCGGGCGUUCCCGGUCGAUGAGGGCUGGGGGGUAGGUGCCUCCCCGUCGUUUUUCGGCGAGGAGAACUUAUAGUCUCCGGCCCGGGUGGUCGGGAGCGGCCGAGGAGAGUUGCGACCUUUCGCACUGCGUAGCGCAGGCUCCGCAGGGGCCGGGUCGCUCCUGUUCUUGCGUGCUCCGCGUCAGCUACUGCUUGCAGUGACAGGCGACGGUCAGCGCGCUUGGGUGGGAGACGGACCACGAUUUGCGCUUCGGUCGUUGGCGUGCGUACGGCUCCGUCCGA
rnacentral:rRNA from 1 species